ACUUUAGUGUAGACAAUAGAAAAAGGACUCCUUCCUGUUGAUUUAUGCCUGGAGUUGUUUUAUGAGAAUUCAGCAAGUGAUAAAAGCGAAAUCCCAUUGCCUCUUCCUAUUUCCACAAAUGCAAUAGAUCAGAUUACCCAAAAACUUGUUCACCACUUCCGUCUGACCAUCUGUUCGUGGAUGAGCUGUACUAGAAAUUUUAGCUCGGUGUUCAAUUGCUUCCACAAAGUUAGCCAAAAGGCAGUAAAAAACUUGCUCUCACGGUCUGAGACGAUGGACCUUGGAACGCGACACGGAAUGAAAUGGGCCAUUAUAGAGAACCUAUCCACAACCACAAAUAUUGCAUCGUUCCCGCGUCUUGUUCUUGGUAAACCCAAGACAAAGUCCAUAGAGAUAUCCUCCCACGGGGCAUCAGGGACAGGCAAGGGCAUGUAUAACCCUGUGUUCUGGACUUGACCCUUGAAGGUUUGACAUAUGGGCACCGCUGAACAAACUUGCUUGCAUCUCUUUUUAGUUGUGGCCAAAAGUAUCGAGCCUCCAAGUUAGCGAUAGUUUUAUCACGUCCAACAUGACCACUGAGAUCACUUGAAUGGAGUUCUAUAAUUAACUUGUCACGUAGAGAACUUCUUGGGAUGCACAAACGAUCAUUCUUGAAGAGAUAGCCAUCUUAUACCAAAUAGUCUUCACCUAAUGGCUGUCCUCUCAUGUGUUUUACCCAAACAUGACCAAAGUCUUCGUCCUCUUCAUACAACUCUUUUAUUUGAUCCAUGCCUGGAAGUUCACCCUCAAAAGAAGUCAAAAGGCAUGCACGCCGACUCAAAGCAUCGGCUACUUUGUUGGUUGUUCCAAACUUAUGCACAAUGAGGUAGUUAAACCUUUCCAGGUAUGCUGCCCAUCUUGCUAGCAUGCGAUCCACAUGCUUUUGAUUUCUAAAAUGCUUCAAGGAUUGAUGGUUAGUCACAACAAUGAAUUCCUAAGGCAACAAAUAGACUUCCCAAGUCUUUAAAGCCGCGAAAACAGCAUACAAUUCUUACUGAUAGGUACUCCAAUUUUGUCUUGCCUCACUUAACUUGUCACUAAAGAAACCAAUGGGUUUUCGUUCUUGAGAUAGAACUGCCCCAAUGCCUACUCCACUUGCAUCGUACUCUAACUCAAAAGUCUUAGUAAAAUCAGGUGGUGCCAAGACUGGAGCUUGUGACAACUUUGCCUUUAUGUCUUUAAAACUAGCUUCAGCAAAUUCAUUCCACCGAAACUUUCCUUUCUUUAGGCAUUCAGUAAUCGGUGCCAUGAAAUUUUGGCCAUUCUCUGAUUGCUUCAACUUUGGAGUCAUCAACAUGAAUGCCCUCACUUGUUAUGACAAACCCCAAGAAAAGAAGUCAUGUUUGAAUCUCAACUGACGGUUGCUCUUCGCCUCUAACAAUAAGUGCAGCACACAUGUUUGCCUCCUUCAAGUCUUCCCUAAACUCAUAAAAGGUGUUGGAAAUGGUUAACAUAUUUUUUCUCUCCUCCUUAGAGGUAUUACCAUUUGAUUGGUUUGGUAGGAUGAUGAUCUUUCUCUUGUUCUAAGUGAAAGAGUAAGAAUUUUCCUUCCAUUUGUGUGUAGUAUCGACAUCAAACUGCCAAGGUCUCCUAAGAAGAACAUGCUGGCAUCCAUAUCGACAACAUCACAUAACACAUUUGAGCGGUAGUACUUUCCCAAAAAGAGUGGCAGGUUGCAUUGUUUGGUGACCCUCGUAUUCACCCCUUUCUUGAUCCAUCCAAUAGUGUAGGAAUCAUGUCUCUCAAGCUUAAAAUGGUUCACCAAAUUCUGCGAGAUAAGAUUCUCACAACUGCAAGUAUCAAUCACUAAUUUGCAUACCUUGCCAUUCACCAUGCAUUUGCCCUCAAAUAUUUUCUUCCUUUGUGUGUUGUCGGCCUGUGGCGUUGAGCACAAGAGAUGCUGAAUCACACAUACCACCCAUUCACCCUCUUCUGCACAAACAUCUUGGCCUUCAACAUCUUCAGAUUCAUAUUCUUCGUCAUCCUCGCCAUCAUGGAUUGUUGUGUUGACAAAUUUCCUCUAUGGGCAAUUGCUAGAUACAUGUCCCUCUUCCCAACAUUUAUAGCAUUUUACCACAGGCUUUGCCCUACUCUUGCCUCUAGCUUGCUUCGGGGCAGGUUGCUUUGUCUUUGGUUGGGUGGUCUUCUCUUGCACUUUAUGGGGGAGACUCCUAGACGGGCCUUCCGUAUGUGAAUAUGGAGCCUUACUUGCCUUUCUUGUCUUCACCAACCUCUCGGCCUUUAAGGCUAGAGCUUGUGCUUGGUCAAUGGACCAAACCUGUUCCAUCAUCAAACGAUCCUAAGUAGUGUCAUUGAGACCGUUGAUUUAUCUUGCAAUUUGUUGAUUUUAGUUUCAACAAGGUUGCACCUCACUUGUAGCUUUAGAAACUCUUGAGUAUAUUCUGAAACAGCCAUAUUUCCUUUAACACAAUUCUGGAACUGAAUAAAUAGGAUCUGAUCAUAAUCAGCAGGCAAAAAUCUUCCUUUCAAAAGAUUCUUCAUUGUCUCCAAGAUCUCACACAAGGUUCUCCUCUUAGUCUGCGGUCGUCUUGAAGGCGAUGCCACCAUGCACCAGCUCCUCCUUUUAGCUUGUAUGUGACCAAAGAAACUCUACGGUCUUCUGGAAUAUUCAUGACAUCAAAAAAAGUCUCCACCUCGUACAACCAAUCAAGGCACUCUUCAAUAUCAACAUUUUCAUUGAAAGUGGGGAUUUUAGCUUUCACCUUGUAUGUAUCUCUCGCAUUUGUAGCAUUGGUUACUCUCGGAUACGCAUAGAGGUCAGGUUCUUCAAGACCCUCAUCAGAUUCUUCACCUUCAGAAGUUUCAGCAUAUGUUGGCCUCCUUGAAGUACGCUGAUGUGCAUGUCGUUGUGGUACUUGAGUUCGAAGAUGAGCUUCCUUCCUUCGCCGCCGAACAUCUCCUUCCUCCUUAGAUGUAUCUUCUUCAUGGGUAGCAGGAGGAACACCUUUCCUUAUUAUCUCAACCAACUGAUCGAAUCUCUAGUUAAGAUCCUCACUAGCGCUUGGAUUUGUUGUUCUGCAGCAUCCGCUCUCUUUCCCAAAUCCUCCAUUGCUUGCUGUAGCUCCCUCUCAAUGAGGAAACCAGCAACUAGAACAGAUCAGCAGGGCUCUGAUACCACCUGAUGCAGCACAAGGUUUUGGAGGAACAACUCCACCUUGCUGCUACAAUAUAGACAGCACAAAUGUUAAAGGAACCACUUCAACAUGCUGUGCUAGAUAUCGCUCUAGGGGCGAGGAACUGCCAAGAGUUUAAUCCAAACUCUUAACACACAACAUCUAAGACAAAGAACAUAAAUUGCUCGUUAUUGAUAGAUAGUGGUCCCUAGUCCCCCAAGAUAGAGGUGUGGACCUCUAUUUAUCAUGAGCCUGCACUAAUUAGCUCUACUUAUAACUAGAACCUUCUAGGUAACACUACUCAAAGUUAGGAAAAUAUCCUAGUUAAAACUUAUAGUAGAACACUCUAGAAACUACCACACACCUAUGAUUAAAAGAUAAGUUAUUUAGAAUAUAGUAGAAGUGUGUAGAAGCAUUGAGAGAUCUGACUUCUACUUUUAUUUUAUUUUGGUUUUUUCUAUUGUCCCUCAUCAAUAUACCGUUGGGCCACUUAUGGUGGGCUUUUAUUUGCACUUGGAUUUAAAAAAUAUUAUUUUAUAUCUUAAAAUAUUGGACAGCAAACCACGUGGUCACCAACGAUCCUCAUCCUGGCACACGGGAUUUGCCCGAACGACUGCAAGGACAGAAACACAUGGGCACCAACACCAAGAUCAGUCGCUAGAAUAGAACAGCAUGGAACUCACGGAAAAUGAGUCGGGGACUUUGAGUAUUAAUCGGCCGGGAUCACGUACGUUUCGGACGAGAUGCUCGGGGCUCUUGUGAAUUCGGGAAUUGCUUGUCGGUAUUUUGGGCUUAUAGCUGAGUGGCUGACUUCGACUUUUGGAGAUCUAAUAGAUAGUCGGCUAUAUGUGAAAAGGUCGACCGUUCACUGUAAACCUAUCAGCUAUUUAUAAUCCCUGUCAGAAAAAAUAGAUUUGUAGUAGUGAUAGUUUUUAAGUUAAUUUUGACUAGAAAAAUGAAAUAGAGUUUGUACCGAAAAAGUUGGCUCUUUUCCAAGACUAAAGUUUUUAUCAUGACCAAAUUUUUGUAGGGUUUGGUAUGAUGCAUUGUUGCCAAAAUAUACUAUGCCAACUUUUUGAUCAAGACCACAAAUUUAGCCUUUAUUUAGAUGAUUGCCAACAAUUUGGUAUGGGAAUGCCUCUUAGCCAGAGCUAGUUCAAAUUGUUGACCAAAGUUGGAAACUUAUGGUCAAGAGAAUUUGUGGGUUGUUUUUUGUCUAAACAGAUUUUUGGAAAGGAAAACUUGGGCUCAACAAACACAACCUUAAAACCUGGAUCCAACAUUGUCAAAUGCAGCCACCAAAUAUCGUUUCCUAGUGCAAAAAAGAAGCUAGUUUCCACAAAGCUAAUAUGCUAUAUGAAGGUGAGCCCCCAUGUCUUAAUCACUUGCUUUUUGGAUGCCCGAGACCUCUGAAGGUCUGGCACUUUCUGGGAUUAGACGACGUUAUAGAACAUGCUGUGCAAGUUGAUCAAGCAGGAAAAGUCGUCUUGGAAUUUGUGAGAUCAAGAUAGGCAAUCAGAGGGGGGGGGGUGAAUGAUUGCGCGGAAGCAAAUUAAAACUUUUUCCGAAAGUUCAAACCCUAAAUCACCUUUCUCACCGUGAUAAUAAAAUAGCCGUAACUUUUGAUUGGAUGAACCAAAAAAUAUGUAUGAGUAUCCAAAAGAAAGGUAUUGAAAUUAUCUAAUCAGCACAACAAGAAUAAACUCAAUUGGACUUACCAAUCAAAAGAUAUGAUCAAAUCAGUAACAGCUGAUAGAAAGUUACGAGAAUUAAUCUAUAAUCGAUUUCGAGGAAUAACAAGAAAGAUGAAAUAAUCGCGAUCUUCCUUGAUCUCGUGGUAAACCUGCAGAAAAGUAUUAUGAACUCGUGAUAAACCUGCAGCAAAGUGUUAGAAAGAUCUAACACGAAGAAUCCACGAAGAUCCGAGAAGAACAGAGAUGACACCGCCAACAAAUCUCUUUAUUGCGACGAUGUCGAUCGAUUAGAAAAGAUGCAACCAUGCAUCCAAAAACUCUCUAAGAAUUAAUCUAGAUUCAAAGCUCUGAGUGCCCUCACGUUCUUGCUAAAAGCCUAACUAGGACGCCCGCUAUUUAUAAGGGAAAAUUCGUGACCCUAAACCGAAUCCGAAUCCAACACGAACUCCUCUGUCCCGGUCGGUAUUUUGCCCGUGGGGCCCGCAUACGACCUCGGAUUGAGAUGACUUCAAAAUCAAAGUUGUUCGUCUCGACGACGCGCACAAGUUUCAUGUGGACCACUUUUCCAUCUGAUGCCAUCUUUAUGACGCUACUGUUUAAUCUUUAAACAACUCUCAUCCAGCCACGGCUGGACCUACAUAUCUUCACGUCGAUGCCACUCCAUGCCAUCAACUCUUCUUGUGAUGUCUUUAAAACUCGACCAUCACGUAUCGAAUAUCUCCAAUACCGUACAUAUCCGGUAUAAACAACGUACAACAAACCGGUGCCCUUCCGGAUCAUCAUAGCCUUCACUUCCAUUGUUCUUUCGCAUGAACGUCCUGCAUGACCUUGAUCCUCGACCUCAGCUUCUCCCAAGCUUCGUCCCUCGAUCCCGUCAUCGACCACGUUCCUCUAGCUCCGGCAACACCUGAAAGCGAACACACAAAUAACCAGUACGAGCACAAGUCCACGACUUGACUUAGGGUAAGUUCCACACAACUCACGCCAUGUUUUCACAUAAGAAACUAAUGGAUCAACACACCAGUAGCAAAGCACUAAGUCCAAACAAGAUACAUCUCAUCACAUAAGUAUCCAUAUUACCCAAAGUAUCCACAUCAAUGUUUCAUCUAAAACACUUGCCAAUGUUACACAUCACCUAUGAUUUCACAGAAUUUCUCAUUGAAUCACAUUAAUGUGAUGAAAGAAAAGCCCCUUUGAUUGGGACUACCGCUUGGUCUUUGGUGGGAGAGAAGGAAAGCAGUGCGGGGAGAACCAGUGCAAAUCCCUAGCCAAUCCGCCAUUGCAAUCCAGGUGGCAACGGAAAAUUUCGUAAGAGACAGAGGCAAGAAGGCAAGCAUCCGGCGACAUGGCUGGGAAAAGCCUCCUAGAGACAUCGUUAAACUUAAUGUGGAUGCUGCUUUUGAUCCCAAUUCUCUGGAUGGUACGAUUGGUUCAGCCCUUCGUGAUCAUGAUGGGUUGUUUAUUGCCGCUGCGAAUCAGAGGAUUGAACGAUGUCCUAACGUCUCGAUACGUUGCGGAAGCUAUGUCACUGUAUUCUUUAUAACUCGGGUACCACGGAGGUGAUCAAAGUGAUGAUCAAGGGGGACAAUCGGCAGUAUUGGAGCUGCAAUGUAUGAUGACUUCUUCUUUAUUAUCAAAUUACUAUGUCAAGAUUUCUUUUGCUCAUUGUCCUCAGGAAUCCAAUGACGGUACGCAUGAAUUAGCGAGAUUAACUAAAUUCUCUCCUCCUGGAGUGUGGCUCCUUGAUCCACCUUCUAGUAUAGCAGAUCAACUUUUGAAUGAUGUAAUUAUUAUUGCCAAUGAACAAAGAGGUGUUUUACCGGUAAAAAAAGCUUAUAUGCUAUAGUGGGCAAGUAUGAGUAUUCAUAUAUUAAAUGCAUGAGUGUGUUUUCACCCUUGCAUUUAAUGCUAACAAAUCACGUCGAUCAGAAGUUUUCGAGAGCUGGCUAUUUUAGCGCCGGCUUCUCCGGUAGUUAAGAAAAGCUAUAGCGCAGCUACAUGCACCGGCACUAAGUCAUUUAGUGGUUUAGUUAAAAUCAUAAAAUUAAAAAAAUAUCACCCAGUCUGGCAUAAUAUAUCAUGUACAGUGACACCAUUGCAAAUGCCAAUCGGUAGUAGCUAUCUUUUUAAAAAGAGAAGAUAAACAUGAAAUGGAAGCUAGGAUUCUCAACGUGAUUUUGGAAUGAUAAAAGAGGGAAUGAGUUUGGAGGAAGAUGUACUUGACGAUUGCCUUGUUCUCAAAAAGGCUGUGUCGAUCUCAUUUCAACAGUGUCCUCGUGAAGCUAAUUAAGUAGCUCAUGAUUUUGUUUUACCACAAGUAGCUCAUGAAUUAGCGCAUAAUGCCAGCCAGCCAUGACAGUGGAAAUAAACGGUGGAGAGAAUAAAGUAGGUUGUUUGGUUGACUUGUUGAUUUUUUUGAAGAACGUAGAGUUGUUACCUAGACGAGAUUAGAGGACUGAAAAACGAUCAAACGGCUGCAUGCUAAUCGAAGCCGCGCAUACAACAAUCAACGCUAGAUAUCAUUUCCGGAUAUACAUGUUUCUAGAUAGUACAUACGGACUAGUACAAGGCCAAGCCCCAGCCUGUAAGUCUUCCACACAACACGUGUGAAUUGUGAUCUAGUUUCUUGCCUCGCUCGACAUGGCUCCGCCGGAGAUGUGCCGAGGUAGCGCAAUGACUGAGUAUGAGACGACGUCUUUCUUGAUGGGCCGGAAGAGGUCGGAGGCAUCAUUGCGAAGGCCGCCACGAAGGAAGACGGUACACCAUGCAGUGGCGCAACUGCAGAAGGUGUUCCUGGUCACGAACCGGUUCCCGCUCUUCUCCAUUGUGCCAAUUGUCGUUACUGCUGAGUACAUCCACCUCAGUCGGUUACGUAUGUGAUUGAUUUGUGCCGUACAAUAUCAAUUUAGGGUGGUGUUUUCUAAGACUUAAAUAAAAUAUAGCAACAUAUUGUUGCUAGGGCAUAUCGAUCUCCUCAAUCUUGAUGAGGGCAUAUGCACUAGAUCUAUUUUUUAUUUAUCAAUGUUAAAAAAUAUAGAAUAGAUCGAUCGGCAAUAGUUUGGUCAUUCGUGUAAUACAUUAGCUAGCGAGUAAACAACAACAUACACGUUGGCAUGGGAGAAUUCUUUGAUUUGAUCAACAAGACAUGCAGUCUAUAGAAAUUGAUGCACUUUGUGCGAACCAUAUAUGUCCAGAGCAACCUUUAAGAAUCGACUAGAGUGGCAUCUUUGAUUGCAUUUUUAAGUUAUCCAUGACUGUUCGUUGAAUUUCUUUGAAACUAGCAAUGUUUUAGUUUUUUUAAUUAUUUUGUGUACGAUGUGUCGAAUGGAGUAUGAAAACUUGCCUCCUGUGCCAGUUUAUCAAGCUCAGAAAACACAUCCAAUGGUCAUAUCCCCGUAAUAGAUUUCAUUGUAACAACUUUCAUUUUUUUUCAUGCUUGUGUAAUUUUAUACCUUUGUGGUUGUGAUACUGUGUUUUUUGGUGUGGCGGUACACCUCAUUCGGUGAAACACCCCGAUUUGUAGUUGUAUAAAACCAUUGGAUGCAUGCAAGUGUCAUCAUUCUAAACCUCCUACUACAAUAUUCUCUAAAUACUCUACAUAAAUAUCCUAGUAUAGAUAUUUCUUAUCACUCCAUGAAGAUAUUCUUCUAUUGUCUUUCAUAGUAAAUAUCAUCUUGAUCAUGCCGCCGUGGUCUUGUUCUCUGCCUUUAUCGCCAUCGAGGUCACCCAUCCACCCAAAAAGCGGCGUCACUUGUUAGGGUUCGGGAGGUAGCAUAGAAGACAUAGGGACUAAGAACGAGUGACGAAAAGCAGAAAAGCGAUGCCCAAGUUUACCAUUCUAAUGGGUACCGACAAGUUGCCCCAGGCCUGCGUUGUGUUGGUCAAACGACUCACAUCACCCGGUAAGCUGUGGAGAUACACACUGAGGACCGGUGGUAAAGAACUUAAAAAAGAAUUAUUAACCAAACAUGGGUUUUCAAAAUUCAGGGACUAAGAAUUGACACCUUUGAAAUUGAAUUAGGAUAUCCAGUAUAUUUUAGUCUUUUUAUACUCAACUGGAGAAAACGUUGCACCAUGUUACUUUCGUGUGGUCAAGGUCAAGGUCCUGGUCCUUUGGUGGAAAUGUUCGGUUGCUUUUAUAAUAUACGUAACACAACUAUUUGUUUGGUUGUACUUGACCUGCUGGUUAGUACCUCAUGGCCACUAGUUGAGGUUGUGAGUUCGACCCUUGGGUGUCUACUUCUUUGUUGGGUCCCUUUUUCUUCAUUUGAAUCUUUUUCCUUUUCUUUAUUUACACGGGAUAUUUAUUUAUUUUUGUCUCUUUUGAUUUUUCUUAUUUUUUCUUACUUGCAGUUCAAAUUUGAAGAAUUGGAUUUAUUUCUUGGUUGACUCUUUAGCCGUUCGAUGUGACACAAAGAUUUAUUGCACCGGACGGCUAAAAUUACACGUGAAAUUUUAUGUGAAAAUUUGGAUUUUGAAAUGGGCAAUUGGAUAUUUCACCUUCGGACGGCUAAAAUUGCACAUGUUUUUCUGUGUGCAAAUUUGGAUUUUGAAAUACACAAUUGGAUAUUGAACCUUUGGACGACUAAAAUUGCACGUGAAAUUUCGUGAGAAAAUUUGGAUUUUGAAAUGUACAAUUCGAUAUUGCACCAUUGGACGGCUAAAGUUGCACGUGAAACUUUGUGUGCAAAUUUGGAUUUUGAAAUGUGUAAUUGGAUAUUGCACCUUCAGACGGCUAAAAUUGCACAUUUUUUGUGUGCAAAUUUGGAUUUUGAACGUGCAAUUGGAUAUUGCACCUUUAGACGGCUGAAAUUUCUGUGCAAUUUUUAGAAUCGCGUGCAGAAUUUCACGUGCAAAUUUUAGAAUCGCGCACAAAAUUUUACGUGCAAUUAGAAACACGUAUAAAAUUUCAUGUGCAAUUUUCAGAAUCACGCAUAAUUGUUAAAAAAUCGUGCAUAAAUUUUCACGUGCAAUUUUUAAAUUUUAGUAAUCUAAAACAUGUUGUCACAAUGAAUUCAACAAGAAAACCACAAAAAAAACUAGGUUCCUUGCAUGUACGAAUCGGAAAAUGUGGCGUUGUUAAGCCGGCAGGCUUAGGCGCAGUCCCGAAAUAAUUUCCGUUUACCCUUUACCAGCAAAUACUACUCCUUUGGUGUUGUAGUAUAUAGAUUCUAGCCCUUAGUGUUGGAUGUGAUCCAAAUUCCAGGGGGCCGAAGUUCCGGCCCAACUUCCGGUCGAACCUCCGGUUGCUCUCUGUUACUUUUCGGGAAAAUGCGGAACUUGCUGCGGAACUUCCGAAUAUUCAAGAAUUACCGGAACUUCCGGCCUCCAACCGGAACUUCUGGUGUGCCCGUUACGGAUCUGUUUUGCCCUAAUGCUCCUGCUAUAUAUACCCCUUGUAAGCCGCCGUUUUGGGUAAGGUUCUCACGAGUUGCAUCUGUAGAACCUUCCUGGCGUUCUAAACACUCCCCAUAUAGUGAGAUUUCGUUGACUGGCACCCGUGGUUUUUCCCUCACGUUGUUUGAGAGGAUUUUCCACGUUAAAUCUGUGUGUCCUUGUGCUGUGAUUUCUUCUUAGUUAUUCGUUCUUGCUUGUCCGGUUCAUAAGACUUAGAUUUGUUCAAGAGCUUAAUGGAUGGCUUGUCAUUUGUCCCUACCAGUCCAAUCUGUUUUAGAGAACAAAAUGCCAACUUGGAAACCCGGUGCAAAAAUGCUGGUCAGUUCGAAGAAAGAGAUAAUUUCAUAUUUGCCAUUGAAAAUUUGCUCAUAUGCCCAAAUGCCACUCAAAAUUUGCCAUUUUCAAAUAUGCCACUCAAAUUUUGCAUGGGGUACAAAUAUGCCACUACCGUUAGUUGACCGCUAGUUGACCGUUAAGAAAGAGAUGAAAAGACAAUUUUGUCCUAGGUAGUAUGUUGAUUUUCCCUCUACAACAAAGCACUCGUUUAGAGAACUUAUAAUUUCAGGUUUUUAAGAUGCAGUAACACAACAUUUAGGAGUAAGUUUUAGCAAUAAUGAUUUUGGCAUGAAAACUGAAAAUUUGAGCAGCACUUCCAUUGAUUUUACCUAACAUCACAAAAUUCAUAAUAGCUUCAGAAGAAUAAUAUACUAAAACUCAUCAUACUUUUAGCAUACGUGCUCGCAAGCAUUCCAACAACGUAAUGUUCAAAAGAUAAUAGUCCGGUGACUAGGAGCAUUUAGGUCAAUAUGAAAAACUGACAAUUGACUUAACGGUCAACUAACGGCAGUGACAUAUUCGUACCCCAUAUAAAAUUUAAAUGGCAUAUUUGAAAUAGUCAAAUUUUAAGUGACUUUUGGGCAUAUGGAUAAAUUUUCAGUGGCAAAUAUGGAAUUCUCUCUCGAAGAAACGUACAGAACACACGCGUAUACUCACGAUCGGACUGUGCAAUCGACUGAGACAUGGACGUUCGCAGAUGGCGUUCAGACUUCAGUAACUUAAUUAUUUUCAGAGUUCCGAACAACGAUACAUACAAGCAAGCAAACCACCGAAUUACACGAUCGUGCAAUCCUUGUGAUACACAAGUUCAUCACCUUAUUCGUAGCAAGUGGCAAGCAAACGAAAGCACAACACAACACUCAACACACACGAGUGGACACGACCCGCUCAAUGCAAAAGCUCGAUCUCCUCCGGAACAAUCAUGCCUUCGGUGGAACCAUGCUGGCGCCGAGCUUCUGCACGGACGGCCUCGCCAUGAUCCUCUCCCACCACGCCUUGACGUGCGGGUACGAGUCAAACAGGGCGGCGUGCGGCGUCCCCAUGAAGUAGAAGGUGUAGGGGAAAUGGUUGAGGUCCGCGAAGCUGAUGAAGUCCCCCGCCAGGUACUUGUGCUUGGAGAGGUGCGCCUCGUAGACCUCGAGCACCUUCUUCAGCUUCUCCAGGCUCUCGUCCACGACCUUCUGGUUGGUCGGGAUGCCGCGCAUCAUCGGGUUGAUGAGGCACUCGUACACGAUGGGCGACAGGGCUGGGUUGUAGGUGUGUGCGUCGACUUCGGUCCAGACGUCCACCAUCGCCGCUUCUUUCAGGUUGCCCUCGCGAAGCAGGUCGACUUUGUCCGUCUUGUAUUUGCGGAGCACGUACUUCGAAAUUGCGCGUGACUCUGUAAACACAACAAUGGACAGAGAUCUGAGAGGAUAUUCGAGACACCGAGCAAAUGAGGAGUAUGAUCCAAUUGUUCGUUAUAAUGUGAGAUCCAUCUGCUCUAGCCUCCCAACCAAACUGCCCAUCAGGGGAGCACAUUGAUUACUUUGUGGAAAAAAGUAAUCGAGGGGAAGAAACAGAGCUAGCCUCUCAGUGGAGUUUUUUCUUUUUUUUGAAGAAAGUGGAGUAAAUUUUGAGAACCAGAAAGCAUAUGCAAAUUAAUCAUACCGAAGAGAAGCAGAUCCCCAUCCUGGAAUGCAGGGAUUUGGCCGAACGGCUGCAAAGGAAAGUAUCAAAGAAAGAUGGGCACCAAGAUCAGUUGCUAGAAUAAAUAGAAUAGCCCAGGAACUCAUCAAGGAAACUGAAUCAGAGAAUUUGAGUAGUAGUCAAUCGGGGCAUCACGUACGUUUCUGACGAGAUGCUCGGGGCUCUUGUGCUCCUGUGCCUGGAAGUCGAUGUUGACGACCUCGUACUCAGCGCCUACCUCCUCCAGGCACACCAGAACGCGAGCCACGUUGGUGGACAUCGCCGGCCCGAACACCUUCACCGGCGCCAUUUUUCUGCAGGCGAGAGAGACAGACAGACCAGGGAGUGUGUGUAUGAAUAGCUAGCUGCGUACGAGCGGUGUGGAGCUUAAUGGCACCAAACGCCGUCCCAUUUUAUACGGCAUCGGGUGAUGGGAGACGGGGAGGUGUGGACGUGACGACUGACGUGUGGUGGUCUCUGGAACAACCAAGAUGGACCCGUAUGGGGCGAGGUUGUGCUGUCAUUGAGUGCGUGUCGUAUGCGUGGCGUCACCCGUGAGGUAAGUGUUUUGCUUACAUCCGGAUCUGAGAAUUCAGCCUUUCCCUUUGAUCUGAAUACACUUUUGAGGCUCAAAAAGGAAAGGAAGGAAAAAAAAAAGACUUUGCCUUGUCGGUGUUACAGGCAAAGGGUUUUACUUGAUUUUUAAAGUAAAAUGACUAAAUCUCAUCUGAACGGUUGGAUUAUUAUUUGAACUUCAUCCUACUAUCUUUUUUUUCGUUCUUACGAAUCUUAAAGCACAAACCAUAUCUAAUGGCUAAAAAUUAACUUAUCUUUAAUUAAAAAUCAGGCAACUUAGAUAUAGCAAAACCGUUUAACUAAAUUUCAAUCAAUUGAAUUUGAGCGUAUUAGAUCUAAAAUGAAAAGUGGAGUUUAGCCAAAAUAAGUUAUUGUAAAAUCUAGUAUACCUGGUGGCGUAGAAUUCUCGGAUCCAUGUUGUCUCGGACGCGUUUUGUUGUGUAGAUACAUACAUACGUAUCUAGACAAGUUAUUUGGAUCGAAGGGAAUAUUAGAUUUCUCAUUAUAUUAGCUACUUUACAUAUAUUGAGCCGGUGUCUUUCUAUGUGUCUUAAGGGCAACUCUAGCAGGGCGACCCAAAUUCAGUCUGUUUGGGUCGCGGACCGAACAGAUCUGUGCAGUUGUUCGGCACCCGUCCGUGACCGGACAGAUCUGUACCAAUUGUGUGGCACCCGUCCGUUUGGAUCUGCCAGUGCCCCCCAACGCAGCCACCCAUUUGGUCCCGGUUUAUUAGUCAUAGGCAUGCGGGCUAGGGGAGGAAAAAUGAGCAAAGGGAGGACAAACGCAAGACAAAGAUGCUGCCGACCCAACCCAAACCUGGAGCAAAUUUGGGUUGGAAAUGGGUCGUGACGGACCGAAAAGCGGACGGUGGCCGAAAUGGGUCGCCCCACUGGAGGGCGCGUUUUGCCCGUUUUGGUCCGAACGGAUUGGUCCACCGCAAAUGGGUCGCGUGGCUUGAGUUGCCCUAAGGACCUCGUUUCAGCUCCUGUGUAAAGCAGAAUUGUCAUUUCUUUCUCGUUUAUCAAGUGUGCUUUAUUUACAUACAUGAGGGAUGAUAUAUACUGUAGUAUGUUCAUCUCCUUACGAUAUUGUCGUUGGAAGAUCUCAUAUGCUUUUUGUGAUGGGAUAUGGAAUGCAUUGGAUCUGUGCGCAAUUUUCUUCACCGGUUAACAAAAUAUGUCAAAGGAAAAUCGUGUUUCCAUACUGUUUUUAGGACAUGGAAAUUAAUAUAUAGGAGUUAGUGGAUACUUCUUGUUCACCAACAUUUUCCUUUCUUUGGGAUUCUAAGGUAAAGUAAAGAUUUUCAAAGUGCUCAACAGUCAUAAAUGUGGUUUUGGUGCUUAUAGAAAAGGCCUUACAUUUAUGUUAUAGUGGCCUCCUCGGAUUUGUUUCAUUGGACACAAUUUUGAAGUAGAAAUAUAAGCAUUGUGCUAUAUUCGCAAUGCAUUAUGCGAUUGCAUACUUAGUUUGCUUGAAUUUAUGCAGUUGAGUAAAAAAGGACUUCAGACUGCUUAGAUUAUUGUUAUUUCUUUUCAUCCCCAGAUAUUCUUUUGCUGAAUUUCUGUUCCAAAACAUAUUUUUUCUUAAGCAUCACACUUAUAGCAGAUAAAUUUACAUUGCAAAUGAAUAUAUGCCUUGAAUUGCUAACAAUGUUGGCAUUAUGGCAAUAAGAUGGACCGGAAACACCUUUUGAGAUGCUUUUAGUUUAUGAGCACCCAAGCAGGUGCAAAAGGUUCUUCUUGCCAUGCAUGUGAGAAAGUCCCUUGAUUUCAAAGCAACACAUUGGCGUACUUUUAUUCAGUUUUUUUUUUUGGCAGCCGGAGAGAAUUUAGAAGCUUGGCAUGCCAUUCCGUUGCAUUUGGUGAGACCGAAGAGGAUUUCUUCCCAUAGUUCCCUGGGCCGGUGCAUUCAUAAGAGAACAGUUGAGAGAGGUUGGAAGAGAGAUGCAUGAUUAACCAAAUGAAUAUAUUGGGACACAUGUCUUAAUCACGUGUGUGGAGAAUAUAGUGGUGAUUAAUUUUAUACCAGUAAUAUGUGAAGAUAUUGAGGUUCUAAAUUAUGUUUGGCAAAUGUGGCAAAUGUUACUCCUUCCGUUUCAUAAUUCUUGUCGAAAUAUUACGUGUAUCUAGACGUUUUUUAGAAAUAGAUACAUUCAUGUUUGAGCAAAUUUGAGACAAGAAUUAUAAAACGAGGGGAGUACCAUCUGUCUAUUGAAGAUGACGUCAUUGUCCAAGAAGAGCACUGCUAUAUGUACGACAAAUUCACGUACGAUUCUCGUCCGACGCAAGGCAUGAACCAUCCAUCAAAUGAUCUUGUGGUUGAUAUCACAUCGUACGACCGUCGGACACACUGGUUCGUCCGGAGCACUUCCGGUGCGAGAACACCGUGGGAGUUGAAUGGUUGAUACAAUGAUGACUGUUUAGUAUUAUUAUACUGUGAUAGGUCAUUUCAACCGAAUAAAAUUGUCAUGCCGCCAGUACAUUAAUCAUGUAUUGUUUGGGGUAGAAAAAUAGGAUUUCUAUUUUUAGAAUUCCUCCUAAUGAUUUUCCUAGCUUAGGAAAUACGUGGGUGCAAUUCCACUGGGAUUAUCUCAUUUUUUAUAAAUAUAGUUAUCAAAACCCCUGAAAUGAUACUAUUGGGUGAAUAAAAAUGCCUUUACUGUUUCGAUUUUAUUUGAGUGGUAUACCUAGGAAUAGUUUCUCUUUGAGAAAUUAGUUCAGAAUUUAUUGGAGUAUAUGCCUAAUUAUACUCAGAAUUAGUUCUAUGGAUCAUACGCUGCAAGAUAUGUUUUACUUAUCAAAAUGAAUGUGAAUUUAAGAUCAAGAUUAUAAGUUCUAGUUUACUUGUGGUGGUUUAUAGAGAAAAUAUCAUAUCUAUACAAUUAAGAGAUUAUAAGUUGUUACAUUGCAUAAUUUACUUGUGGUGGUUUAUGGAGAAAAUAUUAUAUCCAUAUUGUUCGAUCAGCUUCUUUUCUUCUUAGAGCUACCGUACUUCAUAUUUUCCAUCUAAUUUGUUAGUAAAUAUGACUUACUCAUCUGCCCUUUUGCAAUCCGCCGUUUUCUAAUUUAGAAUUGCAGUAUUGGUGUCUACAAAUGGAGGUAAACAUAUCAUUUUGAAUCUUUUUACAUGUAUACGUACAUUUAAUCUCCGGUUGUUUACCUCCAUUUGUAGACACCAAUACUGCAAUUCUAAAUUCCUCCAUAUUAUAUGCAAUUUAGAAAUAACUGGAGUAAUUACUUUUCUGCUAACCAAAUUCCUGUUAGAAUUCUUGGGUGCCGUACGUAAUAACAGUCACCAGCACGUGAGGCCAAACCCAACGCGUCAGCGACUGUUACCGCACCGGUCGUGCAUCACCGAAGCAGCGUUCCGAACUUCUGACCUUUUCUUUCUUUGGUUUAUGAUCAAACCAGUUCUUUCUGCUUUCAUACCUCCUGACUUUUUCUUUCUUUUUAAGAUCAAACCAUUCUUCCUUCUUCCGUAACUAACAAUAACGAUGGCACGUUAUUGAAAUACGACAUUGACUUUUUUUUCUAGAAUACACCGAACCGGAUGUAUCACCAUUAAAGAAAAAGACUUCGGAGCAGUUUAGUACAACCCGAAACGAAUCGGGCAAAUCUCACGUGAAUUACCCCACACCGGUCCACUCUACCAUUACACUCUCACUACAAGGGAAGAAGCUAAAUGACUCCAUCAACAAACCCGCAAUCUUCAAUGCAUUUCCUUCAAUAUGGAUUGGCCGCAUGAUCUUGUCAACUGAAGGUGUCUCAUCAUCGAGCACCACGGCGUUCCUAUACUUUCAAAUCGGAGUAAAAUGCACACGCAGUCCCUUAACUUGAGGAGAAUGUGCAAGUACGUCCUUGAACUCACGUUUUGAGCGAAAUGAGGAACUAAAAUAUAUUAAGUGUUUUAUACAUCUAUACGCGCGCGAAGGGGUAACUUGUAAUCCGGACCGUCAAUUAACCAACGGCUGAGAUCUGACUGUGUUUUAUCUCUCUGGCAGCCGGGGCCCGCAUGUCAGGGUCUUCUCCCACCUCUAAGCACAUCUGCUCUGCCUCCCUCUUCUCCCCUUCUCCCCAAGCGGCCAAGCCUCCCCCUUCUCUGUUCUGCUCCGGCAGGAAGUGCCCCGCGCCCGCAAGCUCACUCCCAAGCACCUCCGCCCCGUGGAGCGCCCGCGACGCGCGCCUCCGCUACGGCCGCUCGCCUCCUGGUGCUCCCUGUUGGCGAAGCGCUGUCGGUCGUGGGGUGUCCCCGCGGCGAGCGCGUAGGCGCGGCCUUGCUGGUCGUAGAUCGCGGGCGUCUCCAUGAGGUGGAUGAGCUGGGCCAGCUCGGCGCGGAGCGAGCCGAGCAUCUUCUCGAAGCCGUGCAGCAUGAGGUCGUCCUCCACCGCGUUCUGCGCCUCCACGAGCCUGUAGCGCCCCGACUAGGUCGCCCUUGUCCGCCAUGGCCAUCGCCUCCCUGAUGGCGUCGGCAUACCGGCGCCGGGCGAGUUCGUCCUCCACCCAGCCCGAAUCUCCUCGGGUCGCUGCUUUAGGAGCGAGGAGUUGCAGGCAGAUCUCAAACAACCCCAAUCGGCCCGACGGCGAGGAUGGUGGCAGGCGGCGGCGGCGCGGGAAGGGACCGGCGCGGGCGCGAGGAUGGCGGCGGGCGGCGGCGGCGAGCGGCCAGGGGCGCGGGCUGGUCGAUGCGAAGGCCUGCCAUGGCUGCUGUGAGCCUUGUGUGGUUUGAGGAGGAGGACGACCCUGACAGGUGGGCCCCGCCUGUCAGAGGGAGAGAGGGAAGAGAGAACACAGGCAGAUCUCAGCCGCUGGUUAAUUGACAGUCCGGAUUAGAAAGUUACCCUCUCCGCCACUGUCAACAGAUGAGGAUUCCUGAGUCCUGACCGCCAUAACUUGGGGAGCAAGGUCUCUUUGCCUGCGGCCAUGCAACCAUGGAUCCGUCCAGAAGUUAGCACUCUCACCAUUACCCAAGACCACCUUUGUUGCUGCCUCAAAGAGCUCCCUGGAUUCUUUCGAGACCUGAAGCCCCAAGUCAUGCCAUGGCCUAUCCGAAUCAGUCCACUGAAGCCAACACAAACGAGCUCUUAGGGCCGUGUUGAGCAGUCUUAAAUUUGGGAUCCCCAAGCCACCAAGUCUUUUCGGCAAGCAAACCGAAUUCCACGCCACUAAGACAAUGUCCAACCUUCACAUCUUUCUUGCCCUUCCAGAGAAAACCACGGCAGAUUUUCUCAAUGGCAUCCACCGUCUUAACCGGCAAGUCGAGUGAUAUCAUGCCGUAGACCGGGAGGGCACACAAGGUCGAUUUGAUCAAUGUAAGUCGCCCGCCCGAAGAGAGAAGCGGCGCUCGCCAGCCCUGAAGCUUAUUCUCCACUUUAUCCACCACUGACUGUAGUUGCGCCGCUGAUGCUUUACGAAGGCCCAGAGGGAGGCCCAGGUAAACACAGGCAGAGCCCAUCACCGCACACUGGAGUUCAUCCGCCACCACACAGCAUGGAAGUCGUCUCUUUUCCUUGCUCGGGCAGGCUCAUGGAAGUCGUGUCUAAUGGACUGCUUGGGACUAGCUAGGUUUGGAUGUCUGAGAGCUCUUAAUACAGAUCAAAGAUCUGAUAAUACAAAACUGCUCUUUGAAAUAGCAAUGCUAGGGCCUAAUUAAUUUGCAAAGCUCUGACUAGGUUAACAAACCCAUUAAAACCUGAUCGAUCGGCACGGCAUAGCCUAAAGCAGCCAGUAACACGUACAGCACAAACUACACAAUCAUCAUGGAGUUCUUUGGUCAACCCCUCGGUUAAUCUAGCUUCUAUUUGUCUUUGGCUUGUAUGAAAAAAAAAUCUACAUUUUCGACUUAUAGAAAUCACAUGCCACAUUGGGAACUCCCGAGCUUAAAUUGUUCAGAAAACUAAGUUAUGAGAGCAAAAAAUCACUGAAAUAGCUAGUAGCCGGUAUCAUGUUUUGUGUUCAUGACUUCACAUGCACAUUUAAAAGUUUGUACAAAAGCUAGUUUGUACCUCCAAUGUAGAAGCUCAUGUAGGGCAUGACUUUUUCGAAGAGCAUCUUUCUGUGUAUCUUGCUGCUUCGGCCUGAAUUGAGCUCAAUUUUGAACAACCCAGCCUUUGUACUCAGGAAGAUGGCACCAACACCUUCUGCAAAACCAACCACACCGAGGCUUUCAGCAGGGCACGAGAGGGGAGCAACGGUUCGAGCUCAAUCAGCCUGCAGGGCACCCAGUUCUCCACCGCUCCAUUGGGACCAGGCUCCAUUGACAACAGGUGGAGCUUAUUAGAGUACGUUCCACAGGCCCGCGAACCGCAGCAUGCCGUCCUCCGCCCCCACAAGGACGUAUGCCGAGUCGAACGGCUUAAUGAUCACCGAUAGCUUAUGUUCAUCCAUGUUGUACUCCACGAUUCUGGUGAUGCACUUACAGGGGAAGUACACCAUACUUCCAAGAACAGCACUGUGCCCCGCCUCCAUAAUGGCAUUCGGUUGGUUCAGAAAGAUCACCUUGCUCCACUCACCAGUCUCUGAUGAGUAGACUGAGGCGAAUGUCCCCCGUUGCUCGUCAGAUCCCACGAAGGCCACGAGGAAAGGGCCCCCACGGCAGUCGAGGUGGUCGUAGCGGUCCUUGGCGCAGAGCAGCGCUGCAUUCCAGCUGGUUUUCUCGUCGUCCGAAUCGUCGCCGUCCUGCGGUUUCCACGUCACGUCCGAGUACCGAGGGUCGGCGUGAAUCAUCCAGCAGUCGUCGGUGAUGGGGUCGCAGACGACCAAGUCCUCCUCGGAUUUCGGGGUGUAGAAGAGGACGCGGCCGUGGCGGGAGUCGAGGACGUACCAGUGGCGGCGGUCGCGGCAUGCCGGCGGGCGGAAGGGCGCGGCGGUGGGGAGUGGGGACGAAGCGGGAGACGCCGGAGCGCGUCCCGUAGGGUCUGUUGUGGAGGAAGCCCAGCAUGGGCGGCGUCGGCCCGUGCAAGACGCGGUAGUCGCGGACGAAGGAGGCGUCGGAGAGGAGGAUGGCGCGCCAGCCCUUGCAGACGGCGGCGGCGCGGACGAGGCUCGCGGGCUCGUCCGGAGGGACGCGCAGGAAGAUCUCGCGCAUGGCGUCGUCCACAAGCGCCGGCGGUGGGCGGCGGCCUCGCUGCGUUGGGGGCGGCAGGCUCAUGGCUAGGGCGUAGGGGAACUGUGCCGGCGAUUGUGGGUCGCGCGAUUUUAUUUUUGUCCAGCAGGAAUUUGGGGCGCGUAUCAGCGCUUCCAUCAGUGGAAGUCGAAUGGAUUCGUUCAGAUCGAGAUUUUUCUCUUUUAUUGUUGAUUGACAGCGAGAUACGAGGAGUUUCAAUGUUUGGACAAAUUUGAGUUAAUAAUUUAGAAUCAAAAGGAACGAGUAGUACUUUACUCCACAUUUUAUUUUCAGUUAUCUCUCCUUCACGUAGGAUCUUUGAGUUCUGUCCGAUCGAGGGAGGCGCUUCAUUGUUAGCUCUUCAGGCUACGUAUCACCCCGUUCAGUCUUGGUUUGAUCCUCCCAAUUUCUUACUACCUGUAAUGGCUAAGGAUGUAAGCGUUUUCAAAGAGUAAUAAAGCAACUGACUUUUGUUCAAAGGAUGUAGAGUAUAUGAUUUUCGUGAAUCGUUCCAACUUCCAAAUCCUAUUUAUAUCCAUCUCUGGCUCUCUGCCCUGCGCCCUUGCCCAGCUGACUGCCGUCUCCCUCUGCCGUUCUAAUCAGAUCAAACCCAACGAAGUUUGCCGGUUCUAAUCAGCAUAUCAGAUCGAAAUCAAAUUCUCCCAAGAAAAAGUGGCAAAGUAAUCACAGGAUUACCGGUUAACAUGUGAUUUCUUAACCUAACUAUUGAGGAUUACCGCCUUGAGAAAAGAAGUAUUUAUUUGGUUCCGAAGAAAGCCAUCCAUGCUAAUAGCUUUACUGAUUUUGCCUACUGCUUAUGUAGAAUUAAAAUAGCUGCUGGGCCUUUUCACCGAUUUCGCCUCGAGGAGUUAAAAACUCCAGGACCGGCGCUGCAUAUAGGGUGUAUUUAUCUGAUGGUUCAAAUAUCCUCCUACAGUGUAAAGUCAAUCUGUAAAAUUUGUUAUGAAUUAAGGUUGCCAACAUAUUCAAUUAUUGAAGCUCAAAAAAAACAUAUUCAAUAUUGAAGCUCAAAAAAAAAAAUUCAAUUAUUGAUCAUGAGAAGAAAACAAUAUUUAUCAUUAGAAAAAUAUGGGAGCCUAAAUUAAGGUAAGGUAAUCUACCCCAAAUAAUAAAGGGAGGAACGCUUCCUUCGUCGUCGUCCGUCCGUGAAUUUUGCAAUUUGCCCCUUCAAGUUUUUGUUAAUUCAACCCGCCGUCCAAAUAAAGGACGGAACUGGGUUUGUUUUACAAGGUUUCGGCUAAACUGCAAUUUUGCGUCUCCUUCCACGGAUCUCUCCCCGACUCAUCCCUGAGUCCCCGACCCGCAUCUCGCCCUGCCUCCUGUUGGGUUGGGACCCAAGGCGUUGUCCCGCCGUGCCACGGAUCUGGGUUUUUUUGCAAGUUUGCCGCCCUCCCCGCGCUCUCUGUCCAUCUGCCGGCCCAAUAGCUGCGGCGGCGCUCUAGUUGCCACGAUGCUACUCCACCUUCUACGGCCGGGCGCUCGCCUCCGCCCCGACGCCUCGAGCCGCCCGUCCCCUCAUCCACACCGACCUCCUGCGCUUCACCGCCGCCGUUCACCCACCGGCCACCCGAAUCUAGAGCGCCACCCAUGGCCUCCUCAACCCCCGUCUCGCCUGCCGCUGCCGCCUUCUUCGGCAACCGCCGCUGCCUCCUCCUUCCCUGUUCCCUGCGUCGCCUCCCUCACAGCUGCUUGUGCCCGCGCUCAAGCUCCCGCAUCCGCUUCGCCGCCUGCCAUGCCAAUACCCUCCUCUCAUCACCCGGGGCCAGGUGCCGUCCGCUGCCGCGGCGUGCUCGUCCACCUCCUCCGCUAGCGGGUUCUCUGUAUGGCUGCUCACGCACGGGCUGCCGCUGGGCAAGGGGGCCAUCCUGAAGCGCCCAGUGCCUAGCACCGGUGGGGGCAAGGACCGGCCUCUGCACCCUUUGGACAAGGUGGCCAUCCUGCAACGCCCCGUGCCUAGCUCCGGUGGGGGAGUAAGGACCGGCCUUUGCACCCUUUGAAGAAAUCAACGAUAAGUCGGUAAUACAGUCACUGACUCAGAAUUCUCACGUUCAGGAAUAUGAAAAUUAUGGAUUCCAUGACAAAAGCAAUUGUUCCGUUAAAUUCGAUUGAAUGUCAAAUUAUCUUAUUGUCAUUUCAAUGAACGUGAAUUUUUGUGUGCAUAUGUUUAAGAGGCCGUGGCAACGCAUGGGCACUGUACUAGUUUCAUACCUAUAUGUCUUAAUUUUCGAUGCAGAGGCCGGGGUUAUUCCCUCCAUUUAAAAAAAAAAGUCAAAAAUGUCUUAAUUUUCAUUUUUCAUGGUACGAUAAUCAUAAUUUCAUUACUAUUUACCCCUUGUAGCUGUUUGAAACCCACGGGAGAAGAAAUAAAAAACCAUGCAAGAUUUUGAUGAUGAAUGUAGAGGGUAAUAAAGUGCAGGCAAGCAUAUAAAAUAUUCCAUAUAUGAGUGCAGGUUUAAAGAGACAGGUAGCUAGCUUUCGCUUCAGGUAUAUUUUCAUUUGCUGGUGAUAUUUCAGAUUUGAUUAUUUUGUUUCAAAUUUUGCUAGCUGAGAUUGUAUACUGCAAUAACAGACCUUGCGCUCUGUAUGCAGUUCCUGAUUCUUUCAAGGAUUUUUUUUUGACAAACAACCGACCGGAGUAUAUAUUUUUACGCUGGAAAAAUCAACAAUACAGGCAGAGAUAAAUAUCUACUUGUUACUUUUCUGCGAACCAAAUUCCCUUUAGAAUUCUUGGGUGCCGUAAGGCGGUUGACGAGGGAAUGAUCCUUCGAGUCCUCGACCUUCAUAUACCCGAUACAGCACAACAGGGGGUCCACUCGAAGGCCCAUCAAGUAUAUGCAGGUAGAGUCCCUCAAAGUGCGGCUCAAGCCAAGGAACAUAAUCUUAUUAUACCGGAAUGAACUGAUCUGAUUGUAACAUUUCCGAUUAUCACACCCGAGACCUAGCCGCCAAUAUAUAAGGCUAAGAGGGGGAUCAGGAAUGGCGAUCCUAUAUACACACGCCAGAUUCAUCUGUGCUCCAUAGCUUCAUAACUUCCAUGUAAUCUCAAUCAAUACAAUACACCAAAAGCAGGACGUAGGGGUAUUACCUUCCGAGGACCCUGAACCUGGGUAAACCUUGCGACUCCCCUAGUCUUUGUUAGUCGACGAAAUUGUUGGUGCAUCCCGUGCUCUUCCUCAGUCAAAAACCCUCAAGUUAGGGUAUUGCCGAGGUAGCCCCUCGUCAUUGGCUCCGACCGAGAGGAAAAAGUGCAUCAGAUCUACGAUCUUCUCAACCAUGCCGCUCUCAAUCCGCAAGAGGAGCCGAUCCGCUUCGGAUCCUUGAGUUUCUCAGCUCACCCGCCAACAUUGUGCUCGGCCUUCCGCAACUUUUGCGGUCUUCUGGAGCUGUCAUUCAGAGGUUUUGACCUCCGAGUCAGCCGCGAAGGAAUCAUCAGCUUCACAGAUCUGUCACCGACAGGACAGAUCUGCGAGUCUCUGGUGGCGUCACCAACUGAUCCUUCACCCCCGAUGUGCUCGUUGGGUGAAACAGGGCAAAUUUUGGCCAAAUUUUUUUGCACCGAGUGCGAUUCGCACCACUCGGUGUUCGCUGAAGAUUCCACUCCUUACAACGUCAAUACCUGUUCGAGUGUAGCAAUCAAUCCCGCUGAUGUAACUAUGAUCCCUUGCAUGACCUUGGCACAGGUCUUCGCAGUGGAAGUAGGCGAGAGCAGUGGAGAUGGACAACGAGCCGGCAGAACCAUCUUCGCUGAGGCACGCGCAAGAGACGUGACCAAUGAUCGUCCAACGAUCAUUCUCACGCCGGAAGAAGAAGCUCGGGUCGAGGCCGCUCUUAACGGCACCAACCCUUUGCCAGCAGACGCCACGUGCAAUGAGAUGAUGGCAUACCACCAUGCGCUAGACACUACGCAUGCUCGACUGCGAGAGGAGCAGGCGGAGCUCCAACGGCGGAGGGAGGUCGCCGACGCUUCGAGUGCUCGCAGACAGCUCUCAGCACAGAGUCGCAGUGCGUGCUCUCGGAGCACCCCCAGAUACAGAGCGCCGCGCUAUCAGUCUCGGCUGAACAAUAUCCCCGAGCGAGACCGCAUCGGCAUGACACGCAGUUUGGAUGACGAACUGAUGACGGUCAACACCCAGGGAGAGUUGCUUCCCCGGACGCCACAAGGAGCUGUGGUCGCUGCAAACACGUACCUCCUAUCCACCAUGCCAUCGGAUGAUGACCCGAAGGCAGCAAUCCACAAGCAGGUCUUGGCCGGCUUGGGCCUCAUCGGGAAUGCCCUCAUGGGCCCCAACUCGAACCAGAUGGAGCCCCGACGUCAUAGGGACGACGGCUCCCCACGACAAAACAAUCACACGACUCCUCCACAACGGGGACUGGAAGAACAGCCUCAUCGCCGCCGCAACACCCCCGUACUAGGAGAUGCUCGUGAUAUCAUUACGCAACAGAGAAUCGAUCGCGAGCGGUCAGCCCGUGCUGGCCACAUCAUAGAGGACGAAGAUGAACCUUGCGGCGCGGCCUGCUUUAGUCGUCGCGUUCGCAACUCGAAGAUGCCCGAUAAUUUUUCAGUAUCUUCGAGCGCAAUCAAGUUUGACGGUUCCCAGGAGCCGACAGCUUGGUUAGAAGAUUACCUCACAAUGGUGCGACUGAAGGGAGGAACGAAGAACACAGCCAUGAAGUGUUUACAGUUGCAGCUCAAGGGGCACGCUCGCACAUGGCUGGCUAGUCUGCCAGAAGGUGAAAUAGGCUCAUGGGACGAGUUAUACCAAGUUUUUACCUGUACAUUUCGGGCAACAUAUAAAAGGCCAGUCUCAUUGGAACAACUUCGAGCAUGCACUCAGAGGUUGAGUGAGUCCAUUCGAUCGUAUAUACAACGAUGGACGUCCCUCAAAAAUGCAGCAGAAGAGAUAUCAGACGAGAGCGCAGUCGACGCCUUUAAGCGUGGGCUGAAGCGUGUCACUUUUAAGGAAGAACUGGGACGGAGCAAGCCAUAAACGGUUGCAGAUCUGAUGGAGAUAACUUCGAGCAUGCACUCAGAGGUUGAGUGAGUCCAUUCGAUCGUAUAUACAACGAUGGACGUCCCUCAAAAAUGCAGCAGAAGAGAUAUCAGACGAGAGCGCAGUCGACGCCUUUAAGCGUGGGCUGAAGCGUGUCACUUUUAAGGAAGAACUGGGACGGAGCAAGCCAUAAACGGUUGCAGAUCUGAUGGAGAUAGCAAAUAAGUGGGCAGAUGGAGAAGAUUCAAUUCGGAAUGAGCACAAUGCACUACCAGAUGAUGAAGAAGCCGAGCGAGGACACAGUCGCAACACCAAGAGAAGAAAGAAGCGAAAGGAGCGGGAGCCCAACGCCCCCGAGUUUGUAGCAGCAGAGUUCGACCGUAAUGGUGGUGUUCGAGGUGAAGGAAAUCAUGAAGGACAUCAGGAUAGAAGUAACCGUGGUAACUACCGAGAUAGCAGCAAGAACCAGCAGUGGCAGCCCCGGAGAUUGCGGCGAGAUGGGCAACCUGCUUUGUCAUUGACACAACAGUUGUCGUCUCCCUGCCCUUUCCAUGGCACCAGGGAUGCUGAUGGAAAUAUAAGGUGCGGCCACACACUGUUCGAGUGCCGUUGUUUCUACGAGUUGCAGGACACAUGCAGCCAGUUUCAGAACUCAACGGCAAGCAGGGAUUAUCCUCGGGGGCUAGGUGAGCAAUCAACGAGGAGUAAUCCUAACACUCUGGCUCUGCCACACGCCACUCGAGCUGGCAUGAUCGCGCAUAACGCGCCACCACCCCCUCCACUGCCACCAAAUUACGCCGGAUCCGUGCAACACACGCAACCCGCGUCACGACCAUCAGAACCACCAGCCACAGCUGACGUGUAUCCAGCGCCUUUGGGAAAUAUCUGCAUGAUACAGAAAGGAAGGCCGUCCAACAGACAUCAAAAAGUUAUCACUCGACAAGUUCAUCUGGCUGUGGCAACACCACUCGCCACCCCAGAGUACCUCGACUGGUCCGAGGUCGCCAUUUCAUUCUCGCGGGCGGAUCACCCACCUCGAUUCCGAGGCCAGGACAGUCAGCACUAGUCCUCGACGCUCAGGUGGGAGGCUACGAGAUGUGCAAAGUGUUCAUAGAUGGAGGCAACGGCAUCAACAUCAUAUUUGCGGAUACACUAAGGGCAAUGAACACAUCAUUAACGAAUCUCCAAGCUACAGACACAUCUUUUCACGGAAUUGUUCCAGGAAAAACUGCACUACCAUUAGGCCGGGUUAGCCUCGACGUUGUCUUUGGCAACCCCGCCAACUUCCGCAAAUACCGGAUCGAUUUUGAUGUACUCGACUGGAAUCGCAAUACCAUGUGCUUCUGGGCCGGCCAGCACUCGCCAGAUUCAUGCCCAUCCCACAUUAUGCAUAUCUUAUGCUGAAAAUGCCUGGACCGUACGACAUAAUCACCGUCCGUGGAAGCUUUACAAGAUCGAACAAUUGUGACAGAGAUUUCCACAAACUUGUUGAAUCAUUCGGCAUGCAGAUGGAACUCGCCUCUUUGAAGGCAACGACGGACAGUGACGUACUUCCCAUGAUGAAGAAAGCGCCACCACAGAUAGAGUUCAGCACGAAGAGUGAUACAACAGAGCAUCAGGUACAUCCGACUGAUUCCAGCAAAACAGUGCUGGUGUCUUCGAGCCUUCCUCCCACAUAGGAAAGCGCGCUCGUCGAGUUCCUGCGCGAGAAUUGGAAUUUUUUUGCCUGGGUACCAUCCGACAUGCUGGGUAUUCCCAGGGAACUCGCCGAGCACCCUCUACAUGUGGACAAGCAUGCCAAGCCCAUUAGACAACCAAUGCGACGAUUUUCAGAGCCCAAGUGCAAGGCUAUUGGUGAAGAGGUCAAUCGCUUACUCGACACCCAGUUCAUCCGGGAAAUGAAACAAGCUACCUGGGUGACGAACCCCGUGCUUGUCCCGAAGAAGAACACGAAAGUUUUGCGCAUGUGCGUCGAUUUCACCUCACUGAACAAGCAUUGCCCGAAAGAUCAUUUUCCCCUGCCUCGAAUCGACUAGAUCGUCGACUCGACUGCGGGAUGUGCUCGAUUGUCAUUCCUUGAUGCAUAUUCUGGGUACAAUCAGAUUCGAUUGAAGAAGGAGGACGAAGACAAGACAGCAUUCAUAACACCUUAUGGAGUUUUCUGCUACACAACUAUGCCUUUUGGACUGAAAAACGCAGGCGCUACGUAUCAACGCUGCAUGCAAGCAUGUCUUGGGGCGCAGCUGGGCAGAAAUGUUCAAGUUUAUAUCGACGAUAUCGUUAUCAAGACAAAGAAUGAAGAUACUCUAUUAGAGGAUAUUCGAGAGACAUUCCAGAAUCUUGAGAAGUAUCGGAUCAAGCUUAACCCAACGAAAUGCGUUUUCGGAGUACCUGCAGGGCAGCUUCUGGGUUAUUUUCUUUCUGCAAGGGGAAUCGAAGCAAAUCCAGACAAGAUCAGAGCAAUAGUGACAAUGAAGGAACCAACAAACAUCCAUGCAGUACAGCAGCUUACAGGAAGAGUGGCAGCCCUCAGCCGGUUCAUUAGCAGAUUGGGAGAAAAGGCUCUGCCAAUUUACCAGCUACUCAAAAAGGGAGAAAAUUUACAUGGACACCCGAAGCCAGCAGUGCAUUCGCCGAUCUAAUGCGCAUGCUAUUGACUUCACCUGUCCUUGUAGCCCCACUUGAGAAUGAGCAGCUCCUGCUAUACCUCACCGCCACAAAUCAGGUGGUCAACACGGCCUUGGUAGUAGAAAGGGCAGAAGAAGGGAAAGCGCAGCCAGUCCAGAGGCCGAUAUACUAUGUUAGUGAAGUGUUAUCUCUCACGAAGCAACGUUAUCCACAUUAUCAGAAACUGGCAUACGGAGUAUUCAUGACGGCCCGGAAGCUGGAACACUAUUUUCAGCAGCACCCGAUCGUCGUGGUGAGUGAGGCUCCACUCGCCAACAUUCUCAAUAACCCAGAGGCAAUAGGUCGUGUCGCCCAAUGGGGAAUCGAGCUCUCGCCCAAGAAUAUCACAUACGAGCGCCGGAAAGCAAUCAAGUCGCAAGUACUGCCAGAUUUCAUCGCCGAGUGGACCGAGAUGCAGACUCCAAGCCCGCCCGACUUGUCGAGUGCCUGGACCAUGUCUUCGAUGGAUCCAAACGAGCAGAAGGCGCAGGGGCAGGAGUAAUACUGAUCUCGCCAAAAAGGGACAAGAUGCGCUAUGUCUUUCAGAUGCACUUCCGCAACGCCUCCAACAAUGAAGCUGAGUAUGAGGCCUUGUUGCAUGGCAUGCGGAUGGCAAAAGCAUGUGGCGCUACUCGUCUAAUGAUCUAUGGCGACUCUAAUUUGGUCGUGCAACAAACAAUGAAGACCCGCGACGCAGUUUCAGACACCAUGAUCACCUACCGUGAUAUGUACAACACAUUGGAGGGUAAUUUUGACGGAAGUGAGCUCGCGCAUGUCAGCCGAUCCAGUAACCAAGAGGCCGAUCCAGUAACAAAGAGGCCGAUCAUUUAGCCAACCUGGGAUCUACACGGGCAGCAGUUCCGCCUGGAGUUUUUCUGGAAAUCAUUCAUCAACGAUCCAUCAAAGAGAAGAGCACGAUUGCCUCAGUCAAAAAAUCGUCCAACUCAGAGCUUCUAACUGACUCAACACUUUCACCCGACAACCCCGUAGUCGAGCAAGCAGAAGACAGUGCAGUCGAAGUCAUGGCAAUAGAACCAACAUGGAUGAAGCCACUACUCGCAUACAUGCUCCGGCAGGAGUUGCCAGAGGAUACAACCGAAGCUAGAAGGAUUAUGUGGCGAUCGAAAGCUUUCACAGUGAUCAACGGCGAGUUGUACAAACGCAGUGUCUCUGGCAUUUUUCAGAGAUGUAUUGCACCAGAAGAAGGACAUGAUAUCCUCCUAGGUAUCCUUCAGGGCACGUGCGGGCACCAUGCCGGAAGCGAAACAAUCACCGCCAAAGCCUUCAGAGCUGGAUUCUACUGGCCCACGGCCUUACUCGACGCUCAAGCUAUCGUCAGCAAAUGCGAGGCAUGUCAGAUGUUCGCCACGAAGCCGCAUGCCCCAGCUUCUGAACUCAAGACAAUUCCCAUCGCCUGCCUUUUGCGCAAUGGGGACUCGACAUGGUAGGCCCGUUGAGGAAGUCGCGUCAUGGAGGACAUCGUUUUCUGCAAGUCGCCAUUGACAAAUUUUCAAAGUGGAUCUAGGACAUGCCAAUUGCAAGCGCCACAUCUACAACGGCUAUCCAAUUCUUCAGAUCCAUCAUUUUCCGUUUUAGCGUUCCUCACAGGAUCAUCACAGACAAUGGAAGCAACUUCAAGGCAGCCGACUUUCAAGACUUUUGCGGGCAGAUGGGGAUUCGAAUCAACUACGCUGCAGUCGCGCACCCGCAAACAAAUGGCCAGGUCGAAAAGGCCAAUGGUCUGCUCACUGAAGGCAUGCGGAAAAGGUUGAUGACACCCUUGCGGAGAGCAGCUGGUGCGUGGGUCGAAGAACUCCCCUUGGUACUCUAGAGCCUUUGCACUACACCAAAUUCUUCCACGCAGUUCACCCCUUUCUUUAUGGUGUACGGGGCAGAAGCAGUGCUACCAUCCGAGGCGAGGUAUAACGCACCUCGGGUCGCAGCAUACGCCGGACCAGACUGCACAGAAGGUAUGGAAGAUGCACUCGACGCAGCAGAUAAGGCACGCGACAUCGCCCUCGCUCGGUCAACGGUCUACCAACAGAGUCUCCUUCAGCUGAAACAGAAAAGUCAUCACAAAUUGGCAUCGCCAUGGGAG
rnacentral:lncRNA from 1 species